rnacentral:rRNA from 1 species
GUCUUUUAAUUGAAGGCUUGCAUGAAUGGUUUAAUGAGAAAAUAUCUUUCUUUAUAUUAAUUUUUGAAUUUAAUUUUUUAGUUAAAAAGCUAAAAUUUUUAAGUGGGACGAGAAGACCCUAUAGAAUUUUAUUUUUAUUUUUAAUAAUUUAAUUUAUUUGUUAAUUUUAUUUUAUUUAUUAAAAUAAAAAUUUUGUUGGGGUGACAUUGAAAUUUAUUUAACUUUCAUAAUUAAUUUAUUAUUUAUAUGUAUAUAUAUGAUCCUAUUUUAUGGAUAUUAGAUUAAAUUACCUUAGGGAUAACAGCGUAAUUUUUCUGGAGAGUUCUUAUCGAUGGAAGAGUUUGCGACCUCGAUGUUGGAUUAAAAUUAGAUUUAAGUGUAGAAGCUUAAUUUUCUAGGUCUGUUCGACCUUUAAAUAUUUACA